rnacentral:rRNA from 1 species
GACGAACGCUGGCGGCGCGCCUAACACAUGCAAGUCGAACGAGCGAAAGAGAGCUUGCUUUCUCGAGCGAGUGGCGAACGGGUGAGUAACGCGUGAGGAACCUGCCUCAAAGAGGGGGACAACAGUUGGAAACGACUGCUAAUACCGCAUAAGCCCACGACCCGGCAUCGGGUUGAGGGAAAAGGAGCAAUCCGCUUUGAGAUGGCCUCGCGUCCGAUUAGCUGGUUGGUGAGGUAACGGCCCACCAAGGCAACGAUCGGUAGCCGGACUGAGAGGUUGAACGGCCACAUUGGGACUGAGACACGGCCCAGACUCCUACGGGAGGCAGCAGUGGGGAAUAUUGCACAAUGGGGGAAACCCUGAUGCAGCGACGCCGCGUGGAGGAAGAAGGUCUUCGGAUUGUAAACUCCUGUUGUUGAGGAAGAUAAUGACGGUACUCAACAAGGAAGUGACGGCUAACUACGUGCCAGCAGCCGCGGUAAAACGUAGGUCACAAGCGUUGUCCGGAAUUACUGGGUGUAAAGGGAGCGCAGGCGGGAAGACAAGUUGGAAGUGAAAUCUAUGGGCUCAACCCAUAAACUGCUUUCAAAACUGUUUUUCUUGAGUAGUGCAGAGGUAGGCGGAAUUCCCGGUGUAGCGGUGGAAUGCGUAGAUAUCGGGAGGAACACCAGUGGCGAAGGCGGCCUACUGGGCACCAACUGACGCUGAGGCUCGAAAGUGUGGGUAGCAAACAGG